GUGAAUCAUCAAAUCUUUGAACGCAAAUUGCACUUCCUGGUAUUCCGAGGAGUACACAUGCUUGAGGGUCAGUUAAAAAAAAUCGUACAUCAUUGAUGUUGCGGAUAUGGGUAUUCCGAUUUUAUAAAUUGGUUACCUAAAAUUAAGAUGGUUAUGUAAUGUGAAGCGUACUCAUUAUAUAGUUGCUAAUCAUUUAUACUUAUUACAUUAAAACUAUACGAAAGUAUUUAGUUGGUGUAUAAAUUAUGAGAAUGACUUCAAGUCAUGUGAGAGUACCGGCUGAACUUAAGCAUAUCAAU
rnacentral:misc_RNA from 1 species